UACGUAGGGUGCAAGCGUUGUCCGGAAUUAUUGGGCGUAAAGAGCUUGUAGGCGGUUUGUCGCGUCUGCUGUGAAAUUUCGGGGCUCAACCGCGAACUUGCAGUGGGUACGGGCAGACUAGAGUGUGGUAGGGGAGACUGGAAUUCCUGGUGUAGCGGUGAAAUGCGCAGAUAUCAGGAGGAACACCAGUGGCGAAGGCGGUGGUCUGGGCCGGAACUGACGCUGAGGCGCGAAAGCGUGGGUAGCAAACAGG
rnacentral:rRNA from 1 species